GACUGAUCGGUUGGAAUUGUAGCUCUCAUUACAAUUGCUGUGAAUAGGUUCUGACAUUUUCAAUAUAUGAGAUGGUUUUUGAAUCAGAGUAAUAAGUCAAAUGAACAGGCUAGGAAUGACGCUAUCUUUAGAGGUCUUCAAGCAUCAGUGGGGAAGAUAGUUGAGAAGGUUAAAAGAAUUAGCUUUCUUUGGAUAAAAGCCCGAGCAAAGGAUCAAUCGCUCAACUGGGAAGAUUGGUGCAGGUUUGACAUCUUUAGGGACAAUGGGUAGCUUGUGUUGGCAUGGGGUUUUGUUUAUUGUAAGCUUAUGUUUUUGUUUUCAGUUUGGUGUAAGUUUCCGUUUGGUGGAUGUAUGUUUGGCGCUAGCGCCUUGCUAGAAUUUGAAUAAAGUUUACGUUGGUUGUUCAAAAA